UACGGAGGGUGCAAGCGUUAUCCGGAUUCACUGGGUUUAAAGGGUGCGUAGGUGGGUUGGUAAGUCAGUGGUGAAAUCUCCAGGCUUAACUUGGAAACUGCCAUUGAUACUAUCAAUCUUGAAUACCGUGGAGGUCAGCGGAAUAUGUCAUGUAGCGGUGAAAUGCUUAGAUAUGACAUAGAACACCAAUUGCGAAGGCAGCUGGCUACACGAAUAUUGACACUGAUGCUCGAAAGCGUGGGGAUCAAACAGG
rnacentral:rRNA from 1 species